AAACCCCAUAAAGCACUGAAGGAUUCUGGGAUGGCAACAGAGCGGCAUUGGAGGACCGAGGUUGGAGGACCAAGGUUGGAGGACCGAGGUUGGAGGACCAGGGUUGAAGGACCGAGGUUGGAGGACCAACAUUGGAGGACCGAGGUUGGAGGACCAACAUUGGAGGACCGAGGUUGGAGGACCAACAUUGGAGGACCGAGGUUGGAGGACCAACAUUGGAGGACCGAGGUUGGAGGACCAACAUUGGAGGACCAACAUUGGAGGACCAAAAUUGGAGGACCAAAAUUGGAGGACCAACAUUGGAGGACCGAGGUUGGAGGACCAACAUUGGAGGACCAAGUUUGGAGGACCGAGGUUGGAGGACCAACGUUGGAAGACCAACAUUGGAGGACCAACAUUGGAGGACCGAGGUUGGAGGACCGAGGUUGGAGGACCAACUUUGGAGGACCAACAUUGGAGGACCAAGGUUGGAGGACCAAGGUUGGAGGACCAACAUUGGAGGACCAAGGUUGGAGGACCAAGGUUGGAGGACCAAGGUUGGAGGACCAACGUUGGAGGACCAAGGUUGGAGGACCAAGGUUGGAGGACCGAGGUUGGAACCAACGUUGGAGGACCAACAUUGGAGGACCAACGUUGGAGGACCAACAU